GUUUGCACUUGUCGGAGAAGGGUGAGAACCUUCGAUUAAGGUUCGACUCGAGCGAAAGCGAGAGAACGUUGCCAACGGCAACGGCCCGUAGGGUGAGGAGUGAAGCGACGAAUAAUCCUUCCCCCACCACCA
rnacentral:sRNA from 1 species